UUCCGAAAACAAGCUACGGGAUUUAAAAUUACCUUUUUCACAGUGGCCGCAAUUUCUUUAUGUCGCAUUGCAUUUUUUGUUAUACACCGUUGUUCAAAUGCUCUCUAGAGCACCAUGGGAGCACUUUUGAAACUGUAGAGUUAGUGCACGAAUUCCUUUAGGCCUAUUCGAGGCUCCAGCUUGUCAUUUUGGUACCUGGGUCUUCAGGCUGCUUACGAUGGCAGAUCGUGGGGAAAUUCUCACUAAUAAAAUCCUUUCGAAAGUGGGAGCAUCAUCUAUAACAGAUCUUGCAGAGUUGUUGCCCAGCCCCCACACAACAGAUAUUUAUAUUAAGACAGCUGAGGAAGAUUUAGAGGUUGGCAAUAUUGAAGACGCUUUUCACAAAUUGUCAUUGACACAUGCCACUCUCCUCCAUCAAUGUAUGCUCCAGCGUCUUCACAAGUCAAGGUAGGGGUAGAAUUUAAUU